UAUAACUGUUUGUUGUUUCAUGGUUGGACCU
rnacentral:piRNA from 1 species